rnacentral:lncRNA from 1 species
UAUUCUGCCAUAAAGUACAAGUAUUAGAAACAAAAUUAUUGGAAAAAAUAGUAGAAAAAAUGACAUUGGAAUGUUUAAUAUGGUUGAGAGAUUAAGUAAGAAGGAAUACACCAUUAUUCAACUUAAUUGCACCAAUAUUUAUAAUCAAAGGAGUUUAAAAUUAAAUUGCAUUCAAGGGAAAAAGUAAGUUUAAGGACAAAUAUUGAAUUGGUAUAAAUUCAG